AUUGAACGCUGGCGGCAGGCUUAACACAUGCAAGUCGAACGAGCGGCGGACGGGUGAGUAAUGUCUGGGAAACUGCCUGAUGGAGGGGGAUAACUACUGGAAACGGUAGCUAAUACCGCAUACCAUCAGAUGUGCCCGGAUGGGAUUAGCUUGUAGGUGGGGUAAUGGCUCACCAAGGCGACGAUCCCUAGCUGUUCUGAGAGGAUGACCAGCCACACUGGAAAUGAGACACGGUCCAGACGCCUACGGGAGGCAGCAGUGGGGAAUAUUGCACAAUGGGCGCAAGCCUGAUGCAGCCAUGCCGCGUGUAUGAAGAAGGCCUUCGGGUUGUAAAGCACUUUCAGCGAGGAGGCGUUACCCGCAGAAGAAGCACCGGCUAACUCCGUGCCAGCAGCCGCGGUAAUAC
rnacentral:rRNA from 1 species